GCUUAGAGUUUGAUCCUGGCUCAGAUUGAACGCUGGCGGCAUGCUUUACACAUGCAAGUCGAACGGUAACAGGUCUUCGGAUGCUGACGAGUGGCGAACGGGUGAGUAAUACAUCGGAACGUGCCUAGUAGUGGGGGAUAACUACUCGAAAGAGUAGCUAAUACCGCAUGAGAUCUACGGAUGAAAGCAGGGGACCUUCGGGCCUUGUGCUACUAGAGCGGCUGAUGGCAGAUUAGGUAGUUGGUGGGGUAAAGGCUUACCAAGCCUGCGAUCUGUAGCUGGUCUGAGAGGACGACCAGCCACACUGGGACUGAGACACGGCCCAGACUCCUACGGGAGGCAGCAGUGGGGAAUUUUGGACAAUGGGCGAAAGCCUGAUCCAGCAAUGCCGCGUGCAGGAUGAAGGCCCUCGGGUUGUAAACUGCUUUUGUACGGAACGAAAAGCCUGGGGCUAAUAUCCCCGGGUCAUGACGGUACCGUAAGAAUAAGCACCGGCUAACUACGUGCCAGCAGCCGCGGUAAUACGUAGGGUGCAAGCGUUAAUCGGAAUUACUGGGCGUAAAGCGUGCGCAGGCGGUUUUGUAAGACAGUGGUGAAAUCCCCGGGCUCAACCUGGGAACUGCCAUUGUGACUGCAAGGCUAGAGUGCGGCAGAGGGGGAUGGAAUUCCGCGUGUAGCAGUGAAAUGCGUAGAUAUGCGGAGGAACACCGAUGGCGAAGGCAAUCCCCUGGGCCUGCACUGACGCUCAUGCACGAAAGCGUGGGGAGCAAACAGGAUUAGAUACCCUGGUAGUCCACGCCCUAAACGAUGUCAACUGGUUGUUGGGUCUUAACUGACUCAGUAACGAAGCUAACGCGUGAAGUUGACGGCCUGGGGAGUACGGCC
rnacentral:rRNA from 1 species